rnacentral:rRNA from 1 species
GACGAACCGUGCGAACGUUAUUCGGAAUCACUGGGCUUAAAGCGCGUGUAGGCGGCCCGGCACGUCCGUCGCUGAAAUCCCCCGGCUCAACCGGGGAAGUGGCGUGGAUACGACCGGGCUGGAGGGGGGUAGGGGGAGCCGGAACUUCCGGUGGAGCGGUGAAAUGCGUUGAUAUCGGAAGGAACGCCGGUGGCGAAAGCGGUCCGCUGGCCCUCUACUGACGCUGAGGCGCGAAAGCCAGGGGAGCAAACGGG